rnacentral:misc_RNA from 1 species
AAAUGCGAUAAGUAAUGUGAAUUGCAGAAUUCAGUGAAUCAUCGAAUCUUUGAACGCACAUUGCGCCCGCCAGCACUCUGGCGGGCAUGCCUGUUCGAGCGUCAUUUCAACCCUCAGAACCCCUUGCGGGAUCUGGCGUUGGGGAUUGGCACCCAGCCAGCCCCGAAAUCUAGUGGCGGUCCCUCCGCGACCUCCCCUGUGCAGUAGCGAUACCUCGCAGCGGGACAGCGGUCUGACCACGCCGUAAAACCCCCAACUUCUCAAGGUUGACCUCGAAUCAGGUAGGAAUACCCGCUGAACUUAAGC